UGGUGGAGUGAUUUGUCUGGUUAAUUCCGUUAACGAACGAGACCUCAGCCUGCUAAUUCUAGUGGCGCCGCUACUUGCUAGCGGCCGACUUCUUAGAGGGACUGCCGGUGUUUAGUCGGCGGAAGUUUGAGGCAAUAACA
rnacentral:rRNA from 1 species